rnacentral:rRNA from 1 species
AAAAGCCCAGCGCUGAAUCCAUCGGCCACUGGUCGCUUGGAGUUGUAGCGUAUAGGUGCGGCUGUCUGAUCGUGUCGCGCACCCAAAGUCCCCUUGAGCGGGGCCACUGUCCGAAGAAGGUGCUAGACCUGUACGGGUGGCGAGACGGUUGGUUGGUCGCUCCUUGGAGUCGGGUUGCCUGGGAUCGCAGCCCAAAGUUGGUGGUAGACCUCAUCUAAGGCUAAAUAUGGCCACGAAACCGAUAGCAAACAAGUACCGUGAGGGAAAGUUGCAAAGAACUUUGAAGAGAGAGUUCAAGAGGGCGUGAAACCGCUGAGAUGGAAACGGAUAGAGUUGACGGAGCUCUGCUGCAUUCACCCGAUCGGCCUAGCGGUCCAAUGGCUUUGACUUCCUCGAUGAGGGCAAGGCUGCUGGUAACUGUUGGGUAUUUGAUCGGUGUAUUUGCGGCUGGUAUGCGCUGAGGGCUUUGUGAGCGCAUGUUGACGGGCGUGGAGUGGACCAUACCUUUCCGGUGUGGAACCCUUCGCGCUCUUAGGCAUGUCGUUUGUAAAGUUUCAAAAGUGCCGUCUCCGCUAUGGUGCAUCGGUUUUGUCGAGCUGUUGUGGCUUCAGGCUGGUCGCAUGCGACCGUCGGUCGUCGUCAAUGGUCCGUCAAAGCACAGAUGCGCCGAGACGUGCACCUCGGUGUGAACGUUGACCACCUAUCC